GGGAUCUUAGCUUAGUGGUUAGAGCAUCUGUUUUGUGUGCAGAAGUCCCCAUGUUCAGUCCCUAAAGGCAUCCCCA